GAAAUGCGAUAAGUAAUGUGAAUUGCAGAAUUCAGUGAAUCAUCGAAUCUUUGAACGCACAUUGCGCCCGGCAGUAAUCUGCCGGGCAUGCCUGUCCGAGCGUCAUUUCAACCCUCGAACCUCCGUUUCCUCAGGGAAGCUCAGGGUCGGUGUUGGGGCGCUACGGCGAGUCUUCGCGACCCUCCGUAGGCCCUGAAAUACAGUGGCGGUCCCGCCGCGGUUGCCUUCUGCGUAGUAAGUCUCUUUUGCAAGCUCGCAUUGGGUCCCGGCGGAGGCCUGCCGUCAAACCACCUAUAACUCCAGAUGGUUUGACCUCGGAUCAGGUAGGGUUACCCGCUGAACUUAA
rnacentral:misc_RNA from 1 species